GAAAACGGCGGGGGGUCAAACCGGCGGAACUUCUAAACCUUUGACGAUUGACUCAUGUUGCCUCGGCGGGUUCGCCCGCCAGAGGAUACGUCAAAACUCCUGUUUUAACGGUGUUGUCUGAGCUACAAGCAACGAAUCAAAACUUUCAACAACGGAUCUCUUGGUUCUGGCAUCGAUGAAGAACGCAGCGAAAUGCGAUAAGUAGUGUGAAUUGCAGAAUUCAGUGAAUCAUCGAAUCUUUGAACGCACAUUGCGCCCCUUGGUAUCCCGAGGGGCAUGCCUGUUCGAGCGUCAUUUCACCACUCAAGCCUGGCUUGGUGUUGGGCGACGUCCCUUUGGGACGCGCCUCGAAACGCUCGGCGGCGUGGCACCGGCUUUAAGCGUAGCAGAAUCUUUCGCUUUAAAGGUCGGAGCCCCGUCUGCCGGAAGACCUACUCGCAAGGUUGACCUCGGAUCAGGUAGGGAUACCCGCUGAACUUAAGCAUAUCAAUAAGCGGAGGAAAAGAAACCAACAGGGAUUGCCUCAGUAACGGCGAGUGAAGCGGCAACAGCUCAAAUUUGAAAUCUGGCUCUUUCAGGGCCCGAGUUGUAAUUUGUAGAGGAUGCUUCGGCGUCGGCUCCGGUCUAAGUUCCUUGGAACAUGACGUCAUAGAGGGUGAGAAUCCCGUAUGUGAUCGGUUGCCCUUUGCCAUGUGA
rnacentral:misc_RNA from 1 species